rnacentral:lncRNA from 1 species
UGAAUUAUCAUUGAGCUGAAUUAUAUUUAAAAAAAAGUACACAAGGAUAUGAGCUUCUUCAGAAGAGAUCUGCUGCCCCUGAAACUAAUUUCAUGUUCCUCUAAUAAUAAUAAGACAAGUAGUUCCCCUGAAAAGGAACCUAAAUAAAAAAGAGCUAUUUAUCAAGAUUUAGGAUAGACUAAUCCCAAGGAUGGUUAAACACAUCCCUAUAAUCUUUUCCCCACAAAUCCCCUUUUCCCAACAACUGCUUUUUUUCAUUACUCAUCAUCAUCGUCAUCAUCCUGCAAACAACCAAAUAAUCAAUUAUCACAAUUUUAAUAAACAUUUACAAAUUUAAAUACAGUUAAUUUACCAACCUCUCCGCUCUCAUCGUCGUCUUCAUCAUCAUUGUGAACUUCUGAUCUUGACUUAUCAGACUCAUCCGCAUCAGCCUCGUCUUUCUCCUCGGCCUAUAAAUGAAAUUCAAGUAACAAUUUUGAAUGCUUAGAACUAAACAAAAUAUAUCAAAAUACAG